GACGAACGCUGGCGGCGUGCCUAAUACAUGCAAGUUGAGCGCUGAAGGUUGGUACUUGUACCGACUGGAUGAGCAGCGAACGGGUGAGUAACGCGUGGGGAAUCUGCCUUUGAGCGGGGGACAACAUUUGGAAACGAAUGCUAAUACCGCAUAAAAACUUUAAACACAAGUUUUAAGUUUGAAAGAUGCAUUUGCAUCCCCCAAAGAUGAUCCCUCGUUGUAUUAGCUAGUUGGUGAGGUAAAGGCUCACCAAGGCGAUGGAACAGAACCGACCUUGGAGGGGGAUCGGCCCAAUUGGGAAUUGGGAACGGCCCAAACCUCUAAGGGGAGCAGCAGUAGGGAAACUUCGGACAUGGACGAAAGUCUGACCGAGCAAAGCCGCGUGAGGGAAGAAGGGUUUCGGGUCGUAAAACUCUGUUGGUAGAGAAGAACGUUGGGGAGAGUGGAAAGCUCAUCAAGUGACGGUAACUACCCAGAAAGGGACGGCUAACUACGUG
rnacentral:rRNA from 1 species